rnacentral:lncRNA from 1 species
CACGCGCACGUGCACGUGCUCGUGCUCGUGUAAUGAUGACGUAUUCCACCUGGAACGGAAACGGCAAUGUUAUAUUUCCCAGCAGUUGCGGUCCAACUCUCGAGUCUUCGGUCACCGGACUGCACUUAUCGAUUGGGUCACCUGUUUGAUAAGGCGUGGUGAAAAUGAGGGAUUAGGAGGAAGUGGUACGGUCAUGAGGAGAACAAUGCGAGUCAAUGGUAUGGUCCUUAUGUUUCCUGAAGAACUUCUGAGAAGAUUUUAUGAUAUAUUACCUGAAUUUGAGAACUAACGCAACAGUGGCAGUGGCUCCAGCCGUUGAGGUUGUAUUGAAAGUGUCGACACAAGUGCAAGCCCAGGGUCGGCCGUGUGGCAAGGUUUUGGGCCAAGCCUUUCACGAAUCGUUUGGCCAGACAUGGUGUUCGACUGAAGUUGAUUUUGGCAGGAGUUUAUCAUUUGUUCAUGGUGUCGGCGAUAACGUGCCAACUCUUUGCGAAAGACACCAUGGGAUCUUUCACUUCCGCCAGAUAAUACUACCGGUUUGUUUAUCCAAAAGGAUAUCAGCGUUGGGAGACAUGAAAAUCUUGCUUCAAAGGCUCGUUUUCUUAAUCAGGUAAUGGUGCAAGUGCUCGAAAAAGAUAGAUUAUUCCAAUGUAAACAGGGACAUAUUAAGUUAAAUCUGUCCUGGUUUUUGUGCACCAAGGAAGACUGUGGUGUUACCGAUAAAGGUUGGUAUAGAGCUAGGAUUGUGAAUUGUAUGCACCUUCCUGUCAGACAAGGUCAGGUAGGGAUGGGAGGUAAGUGAGUGCCACACUCAAUCGUCCUUCGAGCAUGGACCGGUCAUGCUCCCGUGGGGCCUGCUCUGGUAAAUCGAGUGAUAUUGCCCCGGGAGCACAGCCACCAUACUGGAACACGAGCAUUGAUUGGUGCCAAGGAAGUCAAUAUGCUAUUGCUGGUGAAGCCACAGUUUGGUGGCAUGAAUACCCGCCACCAGGACAUUGGGUGGCCAAUCACCGGGCUAGUCAUGUGUUGGGAAGCAUGCGAGCAGGAGGUGGGGGGGGGUGGAGUGUGGUCCACAGAGAGGGAUAAAACUAGGUAGUGCAGGGAGACAGAGACAGAGACAGUCAGUCAGUCAUUGCCAGUUCCUGCGAGUUCCGAGGAGCA